GAUGAAGAACGAGCGAAAUGCGAUAAGUAAUGUGAAUUGCAGAAUUCAGUGAAUCAUCGAAUCUUUGAACGCACAUUGCGCCCCUUGGUAUUCCGAGGGGCAUGCCUGUUCGAGCGUCAUUACACCACUCAAGCUAUGCUUGGUAUUGGGCGUCGUCCUUAGUUGGGCGCGCCUUAAAGACCUCGGCGAGGCCACUCCGGCUUUAGGCGUAGUAGAAUUUAUUCGAACGUCUGUCAAAGGAGAGGAACUCUGCCGACUGAAACCUUUAUUUUUCUAGGUUGACCUCGGAUCAGGUAGGGAUACCAGCUGAACUUAAGCAUAUCAAUAAGCGGAGGA
rnacentral:misc_RNA from 1 species